AAUAAACUUUUUUAAUAAAAAUAUUGAAUUUUACAUUUUAAUUAAAAGGUUAAAAUGAUUUUAAAAGACGAGAAGACCCUAUAGAGUUUUAUAAUUUAUGUUUAAAUUUUUAAAAAAAUUAAUUGGUAUUUUUAUUUAAAUAAAUUAUUUUAUUGGGGUGAUAAUAAAAUUUAAUUAACUUUUAUUUUUUUUUACAUUAAUAUAUGGAAAAUUGAUCCAUUACUAAUGAUCAAAAAAUUAAAUUACCUUAGGGAUAACAGCGUAAUUUUUUUUUUAAGUUCAUAUUAAUAAAAAAUUUUGC
rnacentral:rRNA from 1 species